rnacentral:rRNA from 1 species
CAGAAGCUUAUACUAAAGUUGUUGCAGUUAAAAAGCUCGUAGCCGGUGUUGGUGUCUGGGAUUGGUUGUGCGCGAACGCGCGUGGCUGAACUCGGGCACUGUUGGGGGGAUUCUGAUGGUGGGGAGAUUAAUUUCUCUCUAUUGUUACCCCCCGGUACUUUUUGAGUAAAGGAAAGUGUUCAAGGCAGUCGUUAGACAUUGAAUCUUUUAGCUAAUAAGCUUUAGAUGUGCUUUUUUGAGGGAGUUGGUCCCCUUGAAAGAGAAUCAAAAAAGGAGGCGGAUGAGGGGCUUUGUACUUGCGCGUCAGAGGUGAAAUUCUAUGACCGCGCAAAGACAAACAGAAGCGAAGGCGGAGCCCUAGUACGCGCUCGUCGG